rnacentral:lncRNA from 1 species
GUUUUUAUUUACAAGAUAUAUGAAUGGGUAAUUUUUCAGCAUUGACAAUUGCAAAACCUUUUGUUUCAAUGUUUUCCUUCCUUCCCCUCAGCCCCUCCUCCAGAUGGCAGGUUGACCAAUACAUGUUAAAUAUGUUAAAGUAUAAGUUAAAUACAAUAUAUGUAUACAUGUCCAUACAGUUAUUUUGCUGCACAAGAAGAAUCGGACUUUGAAAUAGUGGACAAUUAGCCUGUGAAGGAAAUAAAAAAUGCAGGCGGACAAAAAUAGAAGGAUAGGGAAUUCUAGGUAGUGGUUCACACUCAUUUCCCAGAAUUCUUUCGCUGGGUGUAGCUGGUUCUAUUCAUUACUGCACUAUUGGAACUGAUUUGGUUCAUCUCAUUGUUGAAGAGGGCCACGUCCAUCAGAAUUGAUCAUCAUAUAAUAUUGUUGUUGAAGUAUAUAAUGAUCUCUUGGUCCUGCUCAUUUCACUCAUCAUCAAUUCAUGUCCUCUGGAGCUGUUGUCAAGGAAACUGAUGGAGAAGAAAAAGUGAAGUGAAGCAGAGCUGAGACUUUUCUGAAAGUAUGCUGAGAGAGGCAAUCGCCAAUGAGUAGAGGAAACUCAGGGUGGAAGUUUCUCCAGGAUAAGACUUGCUAAAGAAGUCAGGAGGCUGAAGAAAGCGGAGGCAAAAGACAAAACUACAAGAGCUCUUGGAACCAAGCAGAGAGAUAAGCCUCUGAGCUAACCGGGCUAUGUUGGAG